UGGGUGGCUUUAGCCAUAGGAAUGGAC
rnacentral:piRNA from 1 species